GUAGUUAAUUUACCCAUAUUUGAGUUUUGCAUGGAAAACCUAUUUUAUGGGUAAAUUAUACCGAUAAAUAUAGGUAAUGUUUACUCAUAUUGUGAUCAAAGUAACUUUACCCAUAUAUUGGUAAAUUAUAUUUACCCAUAUAUGGAUGAAAAAAUAAACAUGAUUGAGCGACAAACUCGCAAGUGCUGUGUUUUUUACGGAGGAAGUUUUGAACACUCAAAGUUGAAGUUUUAUUCCUCAAUCGUGGUUCAAUCGAUAGCCUGCGAGCCUGCCUGUUGUACAGGCCAAGAAGCUUGGAAGCGUCGCCAACUUUCCAAUGAACACCAGCCAAAGUGAAAGAGGUCCAAAUCGGCCCUUCUGAACGCACUCAGAAUGGUCAACAUUCUCGUCUACGAUUUGUCUCGGAGCUAUUAGGUCCGGCGAGACAACUAUCGGUGUCCCCUUCUUGUUGAAUUGCCCGGUCCGGCAGAAAACCCCUUCAGAACAGAAACGUCACCAUCUACCCCAGCGGGAACCACACUGGAAACGUCGGGUCUGGCAGAAUAAGCUCCCGGAAAGGUUCCCGGAUUAAAACCCUUAACGAUAGCCUGCUAUCUUGGCCAAGGAAUUGUCAGCAACUUUCCGAUGAACGCCUGUCGAAUUGAAAUAGAUCCAAAUCGGUCCUUCUGAACGGGCUGAGAUUAACCGAUCCGGCGGAACAACUUUUGGCGUCCCCGUCUUGUUGGAAUAGCCCAGUUCGGCAGAAACCCCCUUCCGGAAUAGGAACGUCCCCGGCGAACUCCAGCUGAAUUGAACGAGAUCCAAAUCGGUUCUUCCUGACACGCUGGGAACGGUCUGGCGGAACAACAUUCCCACCUACGAUUUGUCCUUGGAAUUAUUGGGUCCAGCGGAACAAUUAUCGGUGUCCCCGCCAUUUUGGAAUCGCCCGGUCCGGCGGAAACCCCCUUCCGGAACAGAAACAUCACCGACUACCCCCAGCGAGAACCACACUGGAAACGUCGGGUCCGGCAGAAUAAGCUUCUGCAUCAAAACCCUCAACGAUAGCCACUAGGUCAAGAAACUGUCGGCAACUUUCCGGUGAACAUCUAUCGAAUUGAAGAAGGUUCAAAUCGGUCCCUCUGGACGGGCUGAGAUUAAUCGAUCCGACCGAUCAACUUUUGGCGUCCCCGUCUUGUUGGAAUAUGUAGCCCGGUCCGGCGAAAAAUCCCUACCGGUAUUGAAACCAGAGAAGAAUACGGAAAUAAGAAGUGAACGCGGCUUACCACGAAAUUAGAUAUGUGAAUAAAUAAAUAAAAGAUAAAUCGCGUUAUUUUCAUGUUAUUGAAUAUUCUCCCUAUAUUUUUUGUGAAAUAGCGUUUUUUAACCCAAAUAUGCGUAAAAUUUGAUCAAAAUUCAAUAACUCAUAUAUGGGUAAAUAUUACCCAUAUUAUUCGUAGACGCAUCAUACCUAAAUAUGGGUAAAGUGCCUUUACCCAUAAAAUGCGAAUGUGCACU